rnacentral:rRNA from 1 species
CCUACGGGAGGCAGCAGUGAGGAAUAUUGGUCAAUGGCCGCAAGCCUGAACCAGCCAAGUAGCGUGAAGGAUGAAUGCCCUAAGCGUUGUAAACUUCUUUUAUCAAGGGAUAAAAAGACGCACGCGUGCCUUUUUGAAUGUACUCUAUGAAUAAGCAUCGGCUAACUCCGUGCCAGCAGCCGCGGUAAUACGGAGGAUCCGAGCGUUAUCCGGAUUUAUUGGGUUUAAAGGGUGCGGAGACGGGUAGUUUAGGCGGGUGUGAAAGUUGGGGGCUCAACCGUAAAAUGGCAAUUGAAACUGGGAGUCUUGAGUGCGGUGGAGGUAUGCGGAAUGCGUGGUGUAGCGGUGAAAUGCUUAGAUAUCGCGAAGAACCCCGAUUGCGAAGGCAGCGUACUAUGCGGCCACUGACGCUGAGGCACGAAAGCGUGGGGAUCGAACAGGAUUAGAUACCCCGGUAGUC